UACGUAGGGGGCAAGCGUUGUCCGGAAUUAUUGGGCGUAAAGAGCUCGUAGGCGGUUUGUCGCGUCUGCUGUGAAAACCUAAGGCUCAACCUUGGGCUUGCAGUGGGUACGGGCAGACUAGAGUGCGGUAGGGGGUGACUGGAAUUCCCGGUGUAGUGGUGGAAUGCGUAGAGAUCGGGAGGAACACCAGUGGCGAAAGCGACCUUCUGGGCUGCACCUGACACUCUAGUGCGAAAGCGUGGGGAGCAAACAGG
rnacentral:rRNA from 1 species